GCAGCACCCUCCAUGGCCUCUGCAUCAGCUCCUGCCUCCAGGUUCCUGCCAUGCUUGAGUUCCAGUCCUCACUUCCUUUGGUGAUGAACAUCCAUGUGGAAAUGGAAAGACACCCGCCUAAGAUCACAGGUCAAACCAGGCAUGGUUGUUUAUACCUGUACUCCAAACAUUAAGGAAGUAGACGCAGGAGGAUCCGAGUUCGAAACCAGCUCUGAAUGUACAGAGAAUUCGAGGCCAGCUGGGCCUACCGGACCCGUUUCUCAAGAAUCAACCAACCAUGGAAACCAGAGAAACUCCUUCCAAAACCGGCAACUCUUAAGUGGAUGUAUGUGCCCUGCACCCGGCCUCCCAUCACAGGAAAGAUGGCAGUCAAACAUUAAAGUCAAACCCAGGAACUCAGGGCUGCAGCUGUUGCUAGAAAUGAUUGUUUUUUCCCCAGUAGAUAACAGGAAGGCCCUACACUGCUCUUUCACUGUUGCGGCCCAAACCCUUCCUUGCCCUCCAAGACAGUCUGUAAGCUACAGAAUGGAAAUGAUUGACGGAACCAGAGUCGACCUCGAUGUGCCUAGAUGCCCUGG
rnacentral:lncRNA from 1 species